rnacentral:rRNA from 1 species
AUUGAACGCUGGCGGCAGGCCUAACACAUGCAAGUCGAGCGAGCGGCGGACGGGUGAGUAAUGUAUGGGGAACUGCCUGAUGGAGGGGGAUAACUACUGGAAACGGUGGCUAAUACCGCAUACUAUCAGAUGAGCCCAGAUGGGAUUAGCUAGUAGGUGGGGUAAAGGCUCACCUAGGCGACGAUCCCUAGCUGGUCUGAGAGGAUGAUCAGCCACACUGGAACUGAGACACGGUCCAGACUCCUACGGGAGGCAGCAGUGGGGAAUAUUGCACAAUGGGCGCAAGCCUGAUGCAGCCAUGCCGCGUGUAUGAAGAAGGCCUUAGGGUUGUAAAGCACUUUCAGCGAGGAGGCGUUACUCGCAGAAGAAGCACCGGCUAACUCCGUGCCAGCAGCCGCGGUAAUUC